UCCCUGGUGGCCUAGUUGUUAAGGAUCCAGCAUUGUCACUGCUGUGGCACAGUUUCAAUUCCUGAUCUGGGAA
rnacentral:tRNA from 1 species